CCUACGGGAGACAGCAGUGAGGAAUAUUGGUCAAUGGACGAGAGUCUGAACCAGCCAAGUAGCGUGAAGGAUGACUGCCCUAUGGGUUGUAAACUUCUUUUAUAUGGGAAUAAAAUGUUCCACGUGUGGGAUUUUGUAUGUACCAUAUGAAUAAGGAUCGGCUAACUCCGUGCCAGCAGCCGCGGUAAUACGGAGGAUCCGAGCGUUAUCCGGAUUUAUUGGGUUUAAAGGGAGCGUAGGUGGAUUGUUAAGUCAGUUGUGAAAGUUUGCGGCUCAACCGUAAAAUUGCAGUUGAAACUGGCAGUCUUGAGUACAGUAGAGGUGGGCGGAAUUCGUGGUGUAGCGGUGAAAUGCUUAGAUAUCACGAAGAACUCCGAUUGCGUAGGCAGUUCACUGGACUGCAACUGACACUGAGGCUCGAAAGUGUGGGUAUCAAACAGGAUUAGAUACCCCAGUAGUC
rnacentral:rRNA from 1 species